rnacentral:rRNA from 1 species
AUUGAACGCUGGCGGCAGGCCUAACACAUGCAAGUCGAACGGUAGCACAGAGAGCUUGCUCUCGGGUGACGAGUGGCGGACGGGUGAGUAAUGUCUGGGAAACUGCCCGAUGGAGGGGGAUAACUACUGGAAACGGUAGCUAAUACCGCAUAACGUCGCAAGACCAAAGAGGGGGACCUUCGGGCCUCUUGCCAUCGGAUGUGCCCAGAUGGGAUUAGCUUGUGGGUGAGGUAACGGCUCACCUAGGCGACGAUCCCUAGCUGGUCUGAGAGGAUGACCAGCCACACUGGAACUGAGACACGGUCCAGACUCCUACGGGAGGCAGCAGUGGGGAAUAUUGCACAAUGGGCGCAAGCCUGAUGCAGCCAUGCCGCGUGUAUGAAGAAGGCCUUCGGGUUGUAAAGUACUUUCAGCGGGGAGGAAGGGAGUGAGGUUAAUAACCUCAUUCAUUGACGUUACCCGCAGAAGAAGCACCGGCUAACUCCGUGCCAGCAGCCGCGGUAAUACGGAGGGUGCGAGCGUUAAUCGGAAUUACUGGGCGUAAAGCGCACGCAGGCGGUCUGUCAAGUCGGAUGUGAAAUCCCCGGGCUCAACCUGGGAACUGCAUUCGAAACUGGCAGGCUGGAGUCUUGUAGAGGGGGGUAGAAUUCCAGGUGUAGCGGUGAAAUGCGUAGAGAUCUGGAGGAAUACCGGUGGCGAAGGCGGCCCCCUGGACAAAGACUGACGCUCAGGUGCGAAAGCGUGGGGAGCAAACAGGAUUAGAUACCCUGGUAGUCCACGCUGUAAACGAUGUCGACUUGGAGGUUGUUCCCUUGAGGAGUGGCUUCCGGAGCUAACGCGUUAAGUCGACCGCCUGGGGAGUACGGCCGCAAGGUUAAAACUCAAAUGAAUUGACGGGGGCCCGCACAAGCGGUGGAGCAUGUGGUUUAAUUCGAUGCAACGCGAAGAACCUUACCUACUCUUGACAUCCAGAGAACUUAGCAGAGAUGCUUUGGUGCCUUCGGGAACUCUGAGACAGGUGCUGCAUGGCUGUCGUCAGCUCGUGUUGUGAAAUGUUGGGUUAAGUCCCGCAACGAGCGCAACCCUUAUCCUUUGUUGCCAGCGAUUCGGUCGGGAACUCAAAGGAGACUGCCAGUGAUAAACUGGAGGAAGGUGGGGAUGACGUCAAGUCAUCAUGGCCCUUACGAGUAGGGCUACACACGUGCUACAAUGGCAUAUACAAAGAGAAGCGACCUCGCGAGAGCAAGCGGACCUCAUAAAGUAUGUCGUAGUCCGGAUUGGAGUCUGCAACUCGACUCCAUGAAGUCGGAAUCGCUAGUAAUCGUGGAUCAGAAUGCCACGGUGAGUACGUUCCCGGGCCU